UAUACUAAAAGGGGGAUAUCCUCCCCUCUCAGCCCCUCCACGUAGGACUAAAAAAUCUACCAAUGAAGAACAUAUUUUUUGACACGUCAUAUCAGUCUAAAAAUGAAUAACAAUAAACUUCUCCGUGUGGGUUUACAAUAUUAAAGAUUGGCCCAGAUCGAGCCCACAUCUCAAAAUUCUAAAUUCCUAAUGAAGCGUUGAUUGUUUCUUCCAUAGAGACUCCGUCUUCUCCGUUUCCUAUAGCAGGCAAUAAAUCUCCAUUACUCUCUUCAACAAUCAAUUAUGUUCUUCACUCCCUCUUAAUGAAUUCGUCUCACCUCCCUUUCUUUCUCCUCCUUUAUAAACUUACUUCCAAAUAAACCUGAAGAUCCCCUGAACUGAAGUAAUGGCGAUGUAAGCCUAACAGUUCCAAAGCUAAAGCGCAUGAAUCGUAUCCUCCUCCAGGUAUUACCAAUCUGCGCCUUACGAAGGUGCCUGUCAGGGUACUUCUCAGCCUCAGCCUACACAACAAAAUACAAUCACUUCCUGCUAUCAUGAUCAUCACUAUUAGUACAACGCUAACUCUGGUUCGUUCUUUGAUCUCCUUCUUUCUGGAUCCACCAUAAAUUAUUUUCCUAGAUCACUGUAUCCUUUACCUACUGUACGUGUUUUAGGAGUAUUGAAUCAGUAAUAUGGAUACUGAUUCAGUUAUUGCGUUCUUAGUCUUAAAAUGAACUCUCAAACUAAAUGUGAAUUAACAUAGGAUCCCCUUGAUGUGUUUAGAUUUGUGACUGAGAUAUUGAUGUGAUAUUAUGGUAAUUCUCUAAGGCAUCAUUUGAUAGUUCCGACGUGAUAAUCUAAAAAAUACUAUGUAAAACGUGUUAAGUUUAUGUCAUCAGGACAUCAUCUUCUUCAGUUAAACAAAGUCUCAUCUUAUGUAUUUUAGAGGAAUGCCGCUUAAGUUUAAUAGCUAUCGGAUCGAACCACUAAGACCGAAAACGAAAGUCAACUUCGUUGCCUGUUUUUUAAUGUUUGUCAGAUUCAUUAAAGAGGAGAUUCAGUGGAAGAUAAGAUCAAAAGGAACAAGACCAAGAAUAUAUCACUCCAUCAAUAUGUUGUUAUCUAGGAAUACAAAGAACUGAUCAAAAAGGCAAGUCAUGGUCCUUCUCUACAGUCUGUCAAGCUAUGAAGGUUUUGAAACCGAAGGAAAUGUGAGAAUCAUUUUACAUCUUUCCUUUAUUAAAUAAUCUCAUGGAAGAACUUUCCUUUUGUAUGUAUAGUUGGAAUUUUUAGAAUGAUUGAAUCUCAACUUCAGGGUUAACUUAAGCUCAUCAUCGUCCUUUUUCACAUAUCUCAGACUCGGAUCUUUAGAUUAGUAGACACAAAGGAGACCUUUCAAAUUGCAGAAUCAUUCGUUGCGUGUUAUGGAUGACUGGUGGUUACAGAUCCGAGGCUUCGCCUUACAUGUUAUCACUUCGUCUGAAUCUCAGGAACUCUAGGUUUUGGAACCACAAUCGAACCUCACGCUGAUCUAGAAUCGGUGGAAUUCUAGAUUUUUUUUUUAGCUAAAGAGACAAAAUGAUGUAAUCAGUGUUGAGGGAAGAAGAAAGAAAUGGAAGCUAAAAAUAUAAUAAAAGAUUUGUUUAAUUAAGAAGAACAUAAUGAAAGUUUUAAGAAAAUGAUGCCUUCGUUCAAAAAAGAAGUUCUGAAAAAUGAGUCAUCACUAAUAGUUAGUUCAAGAAAGCAAUAGAAAUGACGUCCAAAUAAUAAAUAAAUAUCAAAUCAUUAACGAGUGAAUACAUGAUAUAUACAGAUAGCAACAUACAACUUAUUUACAAAUAAAUUUUCAUAUGUCAUCAAAAUAAAUAAUAUAGUUUUGAUAUAUAUUUUCAGUCACAUUAAUAUUUUCAUAACAUUUUUUCCAUCAUAGCAAAAUAGUAAACAAAUUUGUAUAUAUCAUAUACACUACUAAAAAGUAUUAGAUCCUUUAAAUAAUAACAAAAAAAAAGAUAGAAAGAAGGUACAAAAUUGGAAAUAGCAAUUCUCUGCAAUUAAAGAAUAAAGCAAUAAAAUUUUAAAAAUAUGAAAUAAAACAACAAAUAAACACAGAAAAAUAUUUAGUAAAAUAAAAUCAUUAAACAAUCUAUUUUAAUUUAUAAUUUUCAUAAUUUAUAGUGUUCAGUUGCGCUAAAAAGUCUAAAUUUACAACAUAGUAUUAUUUACAUCUUUUAAACCUAUUACCUAUUGAAAAUGAUUCUAAAAUAAAUGACAACAUGAAGAUUGGAAAAUCUAAAUACAAAAUAUAAGAUAAAAUAUAAUAUAUAAUGUUAAAGUUGCAUUAUCAUCGAUCACUAAAAAAAUCAUGUUGGUAGCAAUAAAAUGAAAUGACAAACACAUUUAUUGAAGACUUAUUUUUGGUUUUAUCCCUAGAGUGAACAUCUAGGUUAAUCAACCAAUAAAAUUUGUUAUUUCAUAUUGGAUAUAUUUAAAAAAAAACAAAAUAUUGUCAAUUUAUAUUAUGUUUUAAAAAUAAAAGGUAAAAAUGAAAAAAAAUAGUAGAAGUUAUAAAAACAAAAUUUGAAAAAUAUUUUUUAAUCUUUAGGUAAACCCUAUACCUUUGAACAAAUCCUAAUUAUUUAAAUAAAAAAACACUUAACACUAAAUACUCAAGAGUUUAAAAUUUAAGAUUUAAGGUUUAGGGUUAAAAUUUAGUGUUUAGGAAUUAAGGUUUAGUGUUUUGAUUUAUAGUUUAGGAUUUCUCCAAGGAAUUAUGAUUUACCUAAGGGUUUAGAAUUUAAGGUUUAGAGUUUAGUAUUUUGCUGACGAUGUUAAAAAUAUUUUUUUUUGUAAAUUCUGUUUUUUUGUAAUUACUUUUAUUUUUUAAUUUUUAUCUUUUUUAUUUUAAAAACAUAAUAUAACUUGACAAUAUUUUAUUUUAUUUUAUUUUUCUAAAAAUAUCGAAAAUGAAAUAACGACAUUGGUAGGGGUAGACCCAAGAAUAAUCUUUAUUAAAACCAAAGAAUGACACACAAGAAGGUGUUAUUAAAUAUACAAAAUACAAAUUUGACAUAAAAAAUCACUAAUAUGUGAGAAUAAUAUUUAAAUAACUAAUUGAGAAAUUCCCUAAGAUAUACCUAAAAAGUAUUUGUCACAAAUAUAAACCUUAAAAAUAAAAAUGAACAAAAUAGACUUAAAUAUUUUAUCAAAAUAAGUAAAUAUACACUUAUAUCCCUAGAGUUAAUUAAUCUAGACAUUAGGGUUUAGAGUUAAGGGAUAUGUUUUAGGGUUUAAGGUUUAGGGUUUAGAGUUUAAGGUUUGAGAUUUAGAGUUGAAGAGUGGGGUUUUAAGAAUAUGAUUUCAAAUUUAAAAAAAAAUUCACAAAAAAAACUAUUUUGAUCAUUUUAGUUUUUGAAAUUUAUUUUUGUGAUAAAACUUAAAAUGAUCUAAUUGAAAGAAUUACCUUAAAUAAUUUUAUCAUCACAAGCUCAUAAAUUUUAAGUUGUUAUCAUCACAAGCAUCAUCCCAUGACUAUCUAAAGGUAAACGAUCUAUAUUUAAUUUUUUGUUCAUACAAAUAAUACACUGAUUAUUACAGAAAAAUUACAACUCGCUUCAUCACUAGCAACAAGACUUUACUUUAACAGCUCAAUCAAAUAUGUUAAGCACUUCAAAGAACGAACAAGAAGUCAACCAAAUAAUGAACUCAAGAGCAACUGCACCUAUUCAACGAAACAAAAACAUCAAGACAAAUUAAAUCAAUAGAGAAAAAAAUACACUCUCCAACCUAU